GUCUCUUUGAGGGCAUGGACUGGUAAGUUCAGCAAAAAUUAACUGGUAGAUAUUUGGGUUUGAUUUUUAAGAUGCUGAGUAUAGGCCUACUGCAUGUAUAAACUUUCUGCAAAUAGUGUGUAUCAUCCUUCCUACACUAAAUGCCUUGUUUGUUUACUGAGAACAAGAGAUCAGGAAUUGGAUUGGCAGUGAAGCCUUGAUGUCCAUUAUCGCAUGGGACCUAGGUCUUAGAAACUCAAAAUUAUAAUGGUCUUUGUUUCCAUUCUCAUUCUUUUGUGAUGAUAAAGUGGGGGUUAUUG
rnacentral:misc_RNA from 1 species